UCUUUGUUAGUAUAUCGGUUAGUACACGCGCCUGUCACUUACGGUCUUCCGUAAUUUAACGGGCGAAAGCUGGGUUCGACUCCCAGAAAGAGAG